CGAAGGGACUCAAGGUUUCAUUUAUGAGAAGUAUAUAAUCCUAAAAACCAGGGAUGGCAACACAGCCCGUUUCGUAGGUGGAUAAUCUCUCCCUACUAAGAACUAGGGUUUCAUUACCAUCCCUACUAUAUAUUUGUUCUCUCAAUCGUAAUUAGGGUUCCUAGCAAUCGCCAUGGAUCGCACUACACAAACAACACCGGAUGCUUCAUUACACGGUUUGAAGAGGAAGGAGAAGAACAAGUGGCCGCCGAGUAUCUCAGAUAUGUGAAGAAGAUGUUAGCCAUGUGGCAUAAUGGUGAUUCAUACAAAUUUAUCAAGCCAGCAAACAAAAAGGAGCCGCCAUCACCUCAGCAGUGAACGGGCCACUGCCGGAAAAUGGCAGCCAAUUCCAUAUUACUAUCUUAUUGCCUAGUGUGCUUACAUCUUUCUAUGUUGUGGCUCCAAUUGAACAAGUGUUAGUGUCGGACGAUGCCAUGACAAUGUGUCUUUAUUGUGUAGUAAAUUUUCAGAGAACAAGUUCUUAUUCUUUUUGUUCUAA